UACGUAGGGUGCAAGCGUUGUCCGGAAUUAUUGGGCGUAAAGAGCUCGUAGGCGGUCUGUCGCGUCGGCUGUGAAAACCCGGAGCUCAACUCCGGGCCUGCAGUCGAUACGGGCAGACUGGAGUUCGGCAGGGGAGACUGGAAUUCCUGGUGUAGCGGUGAAAUGCGCAGAUAUCAGGAAGAACACCAAUGGCGAAGGCAGCUCUCUGGGACGGUACUGACACUGAGGCGCGAAAGCGUGGGGAGCAAACAGG
rnacentral:rRNA from 1 species